GACGAACGCUGGCGGCGUGCCUAAUACAUGCAAGUCGAACGCAGUGGGGACGGGUGAGUAACACGUGGGUAACCUCCCAUCAGAGGGGAUAACACUUGGAAACAGGUGCUAAACCGAUACUGAUGGAUGGACCCGCGGUGCAUUAGCUAGUUGGUGGGGUAAAGGCUCACCAAGGCCACGAUCCGUAGCUGGUUUGAGAGGACGACCAGCCACACUGGGACUGUAACACGGCCCAGACUCCUACGGGAGGCAGCAGUGGGGAAGUUUGGACAAUGGGGGAAACCCUGAUCCAGCCAUGCCGCGUGUGUGAAGAAGGUCUUCGGAUUGUAAAGCACUUUAAGUUGGGAGGCGUUACCAACAGAAUAAGCACCGGCUAACUUCGUGCCAGCCGCCGCGGUAAUAC
rnacentral:rRNA from 1 species